AAGGGCUUAGCUUAAUGAAAGUGAUUGAUUUGCGUUCAAUUGAUGUGGGAUAUAGUCCUGCAGUCCUUA
rnacentral:tRNA from 1 species